rnacentral:miRNA from 1 species
GAACAUGCAUCCUUUCAGAGGG